AGAUUGAACGCUGGCGGCAUGCCUUACACAUGCAAGUCGAACGGCAGCACGGGAGCAAUCCUGGUGGCGAGUGGCGAACGGGUGAGUAAUAUAUCGGAACGUGCCCAGUCGUGGGGGAUAACGCAGCGAAAGCUGUGCUAAUACCGCAUACGAUCUAUGGAUGAAAGCGGGGGAUCGCAAGACCUCGCGCGAUCGGAGCGGCCGAUAUCAGAUUAGCUAGUUGGUGGGGUAAAGCCUACAAGGCGACGAUCUGUAGCUGGUCUGAGAGGACGACCAGCCACACUGGAACUGAGACACGGUCCAGACU
rnacentral:rRNA from 1 species